rnacentral:lncRNA from 1 species
GUUUGUUAUUUUGACUAGUUAACGCUUUGAUUGCUAUUUCACUGAUUAUCUUUACGCUGUUGCCUAGUAUAUCUAAAAUUGUUUCGAAUAAAAAUUCUGGCCAAUAUGUACCAUUUUUAUAGGCAAUGUUAUCCUGGUAUAUCUAUAAGAAAUGUCGUGUUAAAACUGUCGAUUGCCGGUGAUGAAAAAGCCUCGGCUUAUCCACCUGGGAGAAUACGUUCGAUUCCGGAUCCUGAACCUUCGGCUUUCGGGAGUGCCCCGGUUCGGCCGCUUAACCUCAUUCUUCCACCGGAAGGUCGAAAGAAGACGGACAAUGAUGGCUUCUACCGUGGUUACCGUUAAACAUAUCCUCCUCGGUCGGAAUCGGACAUAUCGGAUUCGGCGGCAUAUUUUGAAAUAACCUAAACUAAUCCGAAUAUUUUUCUUACAACGAUAGUAACUUUCCAUUCGGAUAGAAUAAUAAGUGGUGGGAUGAAACAAAUCUUAUACAGGCCGCCGAUCC